rnacentral:rRNA from 1 species
ACGGGAGGCAGCAGUGAGGAAUAUUGGUCAAUGGGCGGAAGCCUGAACCAGCCGAGUCGCGUGAAGGAUGAAGGUAUUAUGUAUUGUAGACUUCUUUAGACGUAGAGAAAUAAGGGUGUCGAGACACCUGAUGCUAGUAUACGUAGAAUAAGGAUCGGCUAACUCCGUGCCAGCAGCCGCGAUAAUACGGAGGAUCCGAGCGUUAUCUGGAUUUAUUGGGUUUAAAGGGUGCGCAGGCGGUCUUUUAAGUCAGUGGUUAAAUCGUGGAGCUUAACUCCAUCCCGCCAUUGAUACUGGAGGACUUGAUUGCGGUUGAGGUUGGCGGAAUUCGCCGUGUAGCGGUGAAAUGCAUAGAUAUGGCGAAGAACUCCGAUUGCGUAGGCAGCUGACCAAGCCGUAAAUGACGUUCAUGCACGAAAGUGCGGGGAUCGAACAGGAUUAGAUACCCUGGUA